AGGUUCUGGAGCAGGAAUCUGCAUAUUCAGGGAACUGUGACGGUGAGGUCAUAAAGGGGCACUCUGCAGGACCCUGGACAGAGGUGAUGAGAGUCUGCGCUGCGAGCUGAAGGGAGAAAUAGAAGAAAAUGAUAUUAUGGAGGAAGAAAAGACCACAGGACUUAACCUAUGGAAUAUGCGAGAAGCAAAGAUUCAACAGAACCGCACCCAGAGUUUACAGCAUGGUGGACCAGUGAAAGCCUUUGAGAAAGAAGUGCUUUGUGGGUUCAUAGAUCCUUUUUCAUCUCCACAAACGCAGAGAGGAAAAGCAGAACAUUGAAGUUCCUGAUGCCAGAGCUCCUCCCCGUAGAGACAAUAAGACCACAUGAGAAGACCCUGAGGCACCCUGCCCCCUUUCGGUGGUCUACAUUCCAUAAAAAGGGUCCUAAACGACAGAAAAGCAAGAGGAGGAGCUUCAUGAACCACCAGACGUAUCUACAGAAAACAAUGAGCUCUCCUACAGAAUACAAGAUUUUACAACAAAACUUCAGAAUCAAUUAGCAAUGAUACCCUCUUCUCAUGGUAUGGUAUUUGCAUAAGACAAUAAAGGUACUUUAUAGCCUUC